AAAAAACAAAUCAUAUUAUUAAACAAUAAAUAAAAAAAAGAAAUAUGAAUAAUAAAGCAUAAAUAUAAAAGAAAAUAUUAAAAGAAAGAAAAACUACAUGGUUUCGAAUGCAUGAUGCAAUUAAAAGAAAAAAACAAAUCAUAUUAUUAAACAAUAAAUAAAAAAAAGAAAUAUGAAUAAUAAAGCAUAAAUAUAAAAGAAAAUAUUAAAAGAAAGAAAAACUACACCUGGGAGUAUCGAACCCACUAUACUAAAGAUCUAGAAGCCACUCCCCUCCAUCAGACCACUUACUAACUAACUGAUACUUUAAUGCUAACUUAAAUGUAUAAACUAAGAUAACCUAAAAAGAAUGAAAAAAAUAAAUAAUAAAAAAACUGUAGAGUUCCCUAGUUAAAUCCCAACCCCUGCCGUUGGUUUCUUCAAAAAGAGAAUGGGAAAUGAAAAUAUUAAUUGACUGUACCUAGGAAAAUUAAAGGAUCCCUUUUUAAUAAUGUUUUUUUUUAAAACUAAUUACUCUAUUUAAUACUAAAUUGGAAAAAGAAAAUAAAGAAAGAAAAAACAAAAAAAAUGGAAUCGUCUCUCUCACAAAGCUCGUUCACCUCUCCACCGCUCAACUUCACUCUCGGCCGCUCCCCACCUCUCGCGAUGCUCUCUCUCAAACACUCUC
rnacentral:lncRNA from 1 species